GGGCGUCUCUUUCUCAUCGCGAGUGGAGGCGCACCCAGAGCGUACACGCUGAUACCCGAAAGAUGGUGAACUAUGCCUGGCCAGGACGAAGCCAGGGGAAACCCUGGUGGAGGUCCGCAGCGAUUCUGACGUGCAAAUCGAUCGUCGGAGCUGGGUAUAGGGGCGAAAGACCAAUCGAACCAUCUAGUAGCUGGUUCCCUCCGAAGUUUCCCUCAGGAUAGCUUGCGCUCAUGUGAACGAGUCUCAUCCGGUAGAGCGAAUGAUUAGAGGCCUUGGGGUCGAAACGACCUCAACCUAUUCUCAAACUCCAAAUAGAUGAGAACUCCGGCUUUCUUGAACUUUGUUUUUGAAGCCGGGGGCUCGGAUCAGAGUGCCAAGUGGGCCAAUUUU
rnacentral:rRNA from 1 species